UGACUCCAGCAUGCUGUGCUGUGCAGGAUCAAGGAUUGCUCCCAGCAAGUCGUCUCAGGGAGUGAUGCCAUCAAGAGGGUUUUACAAGACGUUGUAGCUUGUGGGGUUUUUUCAUCCCGUGGAGAGCUGUAGGAAAAAAUGAAUUUUUAUAAACACAGUGGCUAUGGUGAGGCUGCUUUCAAGAAAAUAGAAUAUGCCUAUG